GCUGUGUGUUGUAGCAGAUGAUACAAGCGAUGAAAAAGCAAAGGAAAAAAAUCAGUGAUGAUUAACGGGAAAAUGUGUGAUAGACAAGGAAGUAAGCUGCGAGGCAAAGUGCGUAGGUGACACACAAACAUAUAUACUACAUUGUGUAGCCCAGCCCAUGGCUUUGUGACUUUGGUUUUUGCCAGCCGAGUUCACACAAAUUACACCAAAACGAGAUUGAAAGAAUGAAAAGCAUAAAACAAAAUCGAUAUUCUACGGUCAUUUGAAUUAAAAAAAGGGAUGGCGGAGCAAAGUGAUUAUACGCUGCCACACACGGUAUGUAUGUCUACUGUAUAUGCAUGUAUUCACAUUUAUAUUUCAUUUAAUACACAAGAAAAAGUUGAAUUUUCACAGUAAAUAUUUAACAAACUGCAGCGUUUCACCAAGUUUUGUAUUUCAACUUUCGAAAAUUACACAAAUACUGCGCUAAAAGUAACUGUAAAUUCAAUAAAUUCAUAAUUUUCAAAAUUUUCAUUUACUUUUUGCCAUUUUCGUAAGCAUUUUGAGGUUAUCAACGGGUAGCUGCUUUACUUUGAAGCGCUUAACACACGAUGGACGCGCUGCCACUCCCACUUUUCGCACAACUACAGCAAUAUGCUAACACUCUGGGCUCAAUAGCACACGCGCCGACGGCAGACAACCUUUGGCCACCAAUUCCACACAACAACUGAAAAUCACGCACAGCGCAAAAAGCUAAAAUCUCUGCUGUGCAUCUCCUGGAAAACGUCUCACACCAAUACACCAACACAGUGACACACACACACACACACAUAUGUGGUAAAGCGGCUUGAUUCGUUUCUAUGCGGUUCACAACACAUUUCUGGGGGAUGGAUGCUGUGCUACAGCAAACUGGAACAAUAAACGGCGCACAAAAGUGGCACAUGGCACUCUAGAGGGUGGCACUUAGUAGGCAAUGAACUUACCCACACGCGCGUUGAGUUUUAAUGUUGCUGCGCGUUUUUCCACACUAAUACAACGGUAUAUACAUAGUUAUAAGUGCCCGUAACGCAUACAGCUUUUCAUUUUACGAAAAGGAACGGAAACGGCAUGGCAAUGAAACACAAACUACCCUUGUAGAGUUUGUAGAGAUUUUAACAGCGCUCUGUAGAGCUGGAAAAUUACAGCAACCAGCUGUAGCAUACUGUUAGGGUUGCGUAUAGCUUCUCGAUGUGGUAGACUACUAAUGGGCAUGCGGCAAAUGAUGCGCGCUGUAUGCGUUGUAUUCAACUGUUCCGCUUGAAAGGCGCAUGUGCAAAGAUUGUGCGCACAGCAAUAAGGUUGUGUAUUUAAGCUGCUGUAGAGAUGAUGAAUUUUAAUCCUAACAUAACUUAAGUGAAGAGAGUAGUAAAGAAUAAUGGAGCAAGCAUGAUAUGAAAUCAACCAAAACUCUAUAAAUAUGCUAGAAUGGCAUCAUUGAACCAACUGCAAAUACUGUCAAAACUGAGGACAUAUGCUCUUCAAAUGUAUUCUUGAAUCAGUGACGUCAAGCUAGUAAAAAAUCUAUGUCAGAGCUUAGAAACUGUCAAAUAACUACUGUUAUUUAGUAUUGUGACGUCAGCUAAACAUGAAUUAUUGUCAAAUUCUAUGAAUGCAACUAAGAUUUCAUGUAUUAGUGAAUAUCUUGUAAUUUUUUUAUUGACUCCAGAUGGCAGCAUUGAAGUUUUUGUAUUUGCAGCAGUUCCCGAACUUUUAUUUUUUUUUCAAUAUUUAUUCAAAUAAAAAUCACUGAGCACUUAUUCUAUAUAAUUAUAUUAUCUAGGCAAUGACGACAAAUUUGCAAAUCAACUGUGAGAGCGCUGAAAUAAGGUUUAUAAAUUUUCAAUACAACCCUGUGAAAUAACUACUGUUAUAUGGAAUGGCGCUAUCACCAACAUACUAUAGAAUUCAAUGGUAUUAUUAAACACUGAAGAAAUUUUGAUCGCUUUAGAUUUAAACAUUAUAGUUUUUUUUUGAUUUUGCAGUAGUUCUCAAACAUUUGUUUUAUGAUUUAAUCAGAAAAAUAAUUAAACUUAAUUUAACCAGAAUAUUAUAUUAUCAAUGUAUGCAACACUGGUUAUAAUUAAAAUUAUGGGUAAAUUAUUAAAUUUGUUUAUCUAAUUUAUUUCAGGGGUACCCAAACUUUUUUUCUACAAUGUCAAAAAAAUUGUUUGAAUGCAACACUUUUUUAAUUAAAAUUGUGAAAUAAUUAUUAUACUUUUUUGUUUAAUUUUUUUCAGGGGUACCCAAACUUUAAUUUUUUCAGUCAAAUUUUUUUAGUGUCAAAAAUUGGUUGAAUGACUAUUUUUAGUUAACAUUGUGAAAUUAUUUUUUUUCCAUUUUUUUCAGAGGUACCCAAACUUUUAUAUUUUCUUUGGUGUAAAAAAAUGUUUUCGUGAUAUUGUAAUAAACAGCAAACGGAAAUAUAACUGUAAAACAUUUUACUCUGAAUUAUAAUUCAGAUUCUACAGCAAUAAUUCACAACUAGAUUAAGCAAUUUAGAGAAAAAAAGUAAUAGAAGUAAUUAGCAAUGUCGUGUGAACCGACUAUUAGCGAUAAAAAAUCUACAAAAAAAAUCAAUAAUGAAAAUGACAACUAUUAUAUACACUAAUAUAAUGCGUACUGCACUAAACACAUAGCGACACAGGCAAAUAUCAAUUUCAACAAACAAAAGCCUCAGGAAGCACUAAUGAAAUUUACUACUUGAUUACACAUCGAAAAGCAUAAUAAUUAAUAGAAAGCACAUUGUUAUGAGGAAUAUGUUUGUUGAUUGUAAGUGAUAUCCGUCAUAACUCUGGCGGAUCUAAUUUCAAAUGGAUGGAUGGAUGAUUUGUUUGCACGGAAGAAUAGCACGACAAGGAGUAACGAAGAAUGCGGUGCAGAGUAAGCUAGAAAGUCAACUUCCGUUAUUUGUCAGCGUGAAAACAAAGCGCACAAACGCACAAGCUCCUUAGCUAUGCAUUAUGUGCUGGGUUUUGGGGUGGCAAAUUGUGGCUAAUAAUUAUCUCUGCCCAACUAUGGACUUUAAUGACUGCCAGCGUACGCGCUAUGGAAUGUUGUCGCCGCCUUUCGCGCGCUCGUAAUUUGGCGCAGCAGGUGUGCGCCUAUCAAGUGCCCAGCAAGCGAUCUAAUCACUACAUAAAACCGUAUUAAACAUGUGUAAACAGCAAUAUGUAUGUGCAAAAGUGUGGCAGCACACGGAAUGUUUGUAAUUUAUGCAGUAUUUUCUAUAGGAAAUCAUCGUAAAUUCACACAGCGUCGCUAAUGGAUAAGCUAACAAGUGUAAACACGUAGUCAAUUCAAUACGGUAAUUUUAUUACUAAAUAUAGAGUUUUGGCACUAAAUACAAUACAUAUGUAUGUUUGUAAAUAUUGGGGAAUAAGGCAUAUAUUGAAAAAUAACAUCUAAUUAGAGACCGUAUUUAUUACUCUAUAAAUUUUAUAUGCAUUUUUUUUAUAGCGCUUUUAUAAAAUAAAUUUUACAACUUCCACAAAAUAAUGUAUUUUUAACCACUGGUUAAAGUAGUGGUUAAAAGUUAACGGGAAGUUUUUUCCGGUUGUUGAAAAUGUGACGUUUCACAAAAUAUUAUUUACACUUAGAGCGCCGGAAAGUAUUUCACAAAAAAGUCGAUUUCCACUUUUUAAAGUACACUUUAACGUUAACCGUCGGUUAAAGUGAUGAUUAGCAACCAAUUGUAGUGCUAGAUUAUAAUAAAAAAUACUGAGUUUAUAGUUUUUCAUGAAAAUUUUCUGAAAAAUGUUGAAUCAAGUCUAAGUUUUAGUUUUCAAACCAGUUGAAUAGUCUCAAACGACUAAUGGGUUAAACAAGGAUAUUUAUGCAGAGUUCUGUCAUUAUUUUGAAGAAAAGUGAUAUUUGCGACUCCAACAAUGGAAGUUUCAAGCCAUUUACAAACAACUGAAGAUUGUUGUAAGUUUGCUGAAUUCGUCAGAAAUAUGUUUUAUAUUUUGUGUACCAAAUUUUCAAAUAAAAAUGUCGACACUAUAUUUGAGAUUAAUAUUUAAAAAAUCAUUAUUUAUCAUUUAUUUCUUUUCACAGCACUUGUCAAAAAUUGUCAAUUAACUGUAAAAAAGGUGGAUAAAAAUCAUAGUUCGAAACAACGGGAGUAAACGAAGCAAACGGUAAUAAACUCUUAUUUCGUGUAAUCUCCAAUAAACACUAGAGAACAAAUUAGAGAUCAUCUUUGAAUAAAUUGGUAUUCAUAACACCCUCGACAACGAGUAUACCCGAAUUUAAUAUUUAUGAAAUAUAAAUCCAAAUUUUUGAGCUUAGCAAUUCAACUCAAGAUUGGGUUUGUGAUGCAUACUGAAAAUGAGAUAAUAAGGGAACUAGUCAAAGAGCCGUUUGGGCUUGAUUCCAAAUAUUCAAAUAUUCAAAUGAUUAUGAAGCACAUAUUCAUUUAUAAAGCUUUCGGGUAGCUAAGAGCUCGAAGUUAUUUUUACAGUCAGAAAGACAAAACAUUUAGGCAAUUCACAAGCAUGUUGUUGUAUGUCUUAUGUCAUAUUUUAAUAUUCUUAAAAAAUACGACACUUGUGAGCACUCUUAAUUGUUGUAUGUCAUAUUUUGUUAUAUUUCUACACUUAAUAAAAGCGAUUUUUGCUGAGGCCAAAAUCAGAUAUAUGUCCGUAUUUUCCAGAUAUAUACAAUGUGCGGUAUAAAUCGGUUAAGAAGUGUUCGGGCAGAAGGGCACGAGCAAAACCGACCACUGACCGACCCAAAAAAACCGGUUCUUCACAGAAAAUCGACUACACACUCGUCGAAGUUUUGCCCCACCGACCGCCCACACUGCAACGAGUGUGUCCCAAAAAAACCGGUUCCAAAAAUUAACCGAUUACUACAGUACUAGGCAUAUGCCGCAAAAAACCGAAAAAAUUCGGCAGCAAAUGGGUAGGGGUAUAGAAUAGCGAACUAAAGAAACAUACAACGCAGUGUUGUAUCAGUCAUAUUUUAAUUUUGCAUGUGAAACAACAACAGUGUUGGUAUGACAGUCAUAAAAAAAUAUGACAAUAUAUCGAUAUGACAUCUUGUGAAUACCCUAAUUAUAUUAAGAAUUGAUCAGUAUUAUUGAGUAGAAGUUUCAAUAAUGAAGUUAAAAUUUUCUUUACGCGUUAAUUUCGAAAACUAUUGAAGUCAUGAAUUGAUGGGAGACUUCUGUCUAAUUCAGCGACCAUACGUUCGUCUGUACAAGCGUUAUAUUUCCAACUUAUGCGAUCUUUCUAAAUAAUAACAAGUAGGACACUUCAAAAUUGGCCAAAAAUUUAAGUACUGUUCGGACAUUUUUUUUUUUUUAAGAAAACAUGGACUUUGAAAAGAAACGUUAGACACUUCAAACAUUUGAAAAACUCAAAUUUAUAAAACAAAAUUUUUUAGAAUAUUUUCUUAAAAAAACACCUUCGUCUAAUUCUACUUACU